UCGAAACCUGCAAAGCAGACCGGUGAACAUGUUCUGAUACAACUGUGGACAUGAUGUUGGACUCCAACGUCAUGGCCGCCGAUCCCAAAUGGCUCCGGUCGCUUGGGCGUAAUAAACUCUCGGCGCGGCAAGCGCCAAGGAAAACCAAAUCGAUCGGCUCUCCUCCAUGCGGGUGCUGUGCGCAGCAACCGGAUUAGUGGACGAGCCAUCUACGAAAAAAUAGUCAUAACGACUCUCGGCAACGGAUAUCUCGGCUCUCGCAUCGAUGAAGAACGUAGCGAAAUGCGAUACUUGGUGUGAAUUGCAGAAUCCCGUGAACCAUCGAGUCUUUGAACGCAAGUUGCGCCCAAAGCCAUCAGGCUGAGGGCACGUCUGCCUGGGCGUCACGCAUCUCGUCACCCCCCGACUUAAUCUUUCCCCACAUAUUGUUGGGAACGAUGCACGAAACGUGGGGGUGGAAAUUGGCCUUCCGUUAUCAAUGUGUAGCGGCCGGCCGAAAUAGAAAACCGUGUCGAUGGAUGUCACACGAUACGUGGUGGUUGGAUUCGUCAACUUGCAAACUAUCGUGUGGGACUGUCGAGCCACGGGCACGACCCAACGGCAGCAGAUGCCCUCGAAUGUA
rnacentral:rRNA from 1 species